UACGUAGGUGGCAAGCGUUAUCCGGAAUUACUGGGCGUAAAGCGCACGCAGGCGGUCUUUUAAGUUUGACGUGAAAGCUCCCGGCUUAACUGGGAGAGGUCGUUGAAUACUGGAAGACUUGAGGAAAUGAGAGGGGUGUAGAAUUCCUGGUGUAGUGGUGGAAUGCGUAGAUAUCAGGGGGAAUACCAGUGGCGAAAGCGGCACCCUAGCAUUUUUCUGACGCUCAUGUGCGAAAGCGUGGGGAGCGAACGGG
rnacentral:rRNA from 1 species